CCUACGGGAGGCUGCAGUCGAGAAUCAUUCACAAUGGGGGAAACCCUGAUGGUGCGACGCCGCGUGGGGGAAUGAAGGUCUUCGGAUUGUAAACCCCUGUCAUGUGGGAGCAAAUUAAAAAGAUAGUACCACACGAGGAAGAGACGGCUAACUCUGUGCCAGCAGCCGCGGUAAUACAGAGGUCUCAAGCGUUGUUCGGAAUCACUGGGCGUAAAGCGUGCGUAGGCUGUUUCGUAAGUCGUGUGUGAAAGGCGCGGGCUCAACCCGCGGACGGCACAUGAUACUGCGAGACUAGAGUAAUGGAGGGGGAACCGGAAUUCUUGGUGUAGCAGUGAAAUGCGUAGAUAUCGAGAGGAACACUCGUGGCGAAGGCGGGUUCCUGGACAUUAACUGACGCUGAGGCACGAAGGCCAGGGGAGCGAAAGGGAUUAGAUACCCCGGUAGUC
rnacentral:rRNA from 1 species